AGAGCCAGUCGGGGGAGACGUCGUGAUCAGGGAGGUGGUGUCCCAGGGCGAGACUCACCCAUUGCACUGCGGGUGUGCUGACCCCCGCGAUUUCCCCAAAUGGGGGGAACUCGACUGCAUACUGUGUGGUAGUGGGGGACUGCGUUCGCGCUCUCUUCUG
ensembl:snRNA U1 U1 spliceosomal RNA